UCCAGUUGGCUAGGGUCAGACACCAGUGUUCAGUUCCUGAAUGAUUUGCACAAGGUCCUUUUGUGUGCCUUCAUAAGGACAGACAAAAGAUGUUUUCCCAAUGGGACUCCCUCUUUAUUAUGCCUGACCCUCCAAGAAGCAAGCUAAUCUCAGGUGAUUGGGAGAUUUUAGAGCACUAAGAGGACUUGCCUAGCAGGGUGAAGUCAUUUGUUCAAUGGUACCUCAGAAGAGUUCAUUUACCUUCAAAAGUACAUUCUGUGUUGCUCUAUUGCACCAGGCACAGACUCAGGGAGCUGAGUGGCUGAAAACUGAGACCUCAUAGACCAUGAACCAAGAUGGCUGUUAUGGUUCAGUCCACUUCACAGGUAUGCCCCAGGAUUGCAAAUGACUAUUUCACAUUUGCUGUGUAAACUAGUGACUCAGUAUGUUGCUUUAGAACUAGAUACGUGCGGUUUUGCUUCACUUGAGGAAUUCAGUAAAGAACAUACUUCAUGUCAGCAAAAAGCCUCGUAAAUCCAUGUGAAGGACAUGACCAGACUCCCCUGCUAAUCGUACAGCUGCAUGGACCUGGUUUCCCUUUUCUGAUGGGGGCUUCUCAAGU